AGGAAGACGAGGAAGCUUAGCGGCGGACGGGUGAGUAACGCGUGAGUAACCUGCCCAUAAGAGGGGGAUAACACAUUGAAAAGUGUGCUAAUACCGCAUAUUGAGCGAUGACCGCAUGGUCGAUGCUUGAAAGAUUUAUCGCUUAUGGAUGGACUCGCGUCUGAUUAGCUGGUUGGCGGGGUAACGGCCCACCAAGGCGACGAUCAGUAGCCGAACUGAGAGGUUGAUCGGCCACAUUGGGACUGAGACACGGCCCAGACUCC
rnacentral:rRNA from 1 species